CCCAAAGCAUGUGGAAGUUCCCAGACCAGGGGCUGAACUUUGACCAAAGCCUUUUCGGUGACAAUGUCAGAUCCUGAACCCACUGAGCCACAAGAGAACUUUAAAACUCAUUUCUGAUUCCAAAUAGAGCCUUAUGCUUUCAAUAAAGCAAAUAAUUCUACUAAUGCCUAUUUAAUGAACAUUGAGACUAGAAAAUAUUUUCAUGUACAAUAAGACACUGAACACACACACACGUGCACAUUCAGCUGACUGUGGUUCACCGACUUUGUCUCAAGAAUGAAAAUGUACACAUAGCCUCACUGUACAAUAAAAUUUUGGGAAAGAAAAUACACUAUUCUAAUCAGUGUAAGAGCCAGAGCCAGCUCCACCCUUUUCCCAAUUUUGUAGCUUUAAUUAGCCUCACAGAAAAGCUCAAGGCAGAAAUAGAGAGUCCUGCACAUAGAAUUGUAUUACUGAGCAGAAAUGCCUUCAACUCUUUGUCGCUGCCUUCUGUUAUGAAUGAAAAAGAUGAAACUCCACCUGAAUGCCUGAAAAAGACAGUUGAAACACAGCAGUAAUGACACAUUUCCACAUAUAUAUAUGUAUUCUAUAUAUAUUAAAAUAUAUGUAAGUAUUUUUUAAAUUUAUCUCUCACCAAGAUCAUCAUGAGAAACCGGUAGGCCUGAGCCUAGGAUCCCCACACACAAAUAAUUCCUGUGCAAAGACCCCUUUUAAUUAAAUUGCAUUUAACUGCACAUUAAAGUUCCAAAACCCUGCUCACCUCAACCAAUACCUACAGAUUCCCAGACUGUUAUUUAAAAUAAUGAAUAUAGGGCAAGUGUUCGGAAAACAGUUCAAAUUCUCUCUCUCUCUCACACACACACACACACCAUUUUGAGUGCACAGAGUGAAUCAAAAUGCACCACAAAUCACCACUUAUUUUAGUCCUUUUUUCUGCUAUGUAAGAGGGAUUUAGAUGAUUUUUUAAGUCAGUAUUUGGGACCAGAAAGACUUUCCUUUUUAGUCUCAAGAAACACAAUAAUCAAUUCCUAUAAGAGAAAAAUGUGUUUUUCCCAAAUAUGUUGCACAGCAAAGAUAAGACGACUUCUCCCCCGGGAGAUGGGAACAAACAGUGUUGUCAGCACAGGAAGGCUGCUGAAGAGGCGGCCACAUCCCCCCUGCCAACCUGAUUAGAGAAAGCCAGGAAGCAGGGCUGUUUACUUGGGAACCAACAUGAGAACCUGCUGCAGCCCCAACCCCAAGGGGGGAAGGGAGCAACAAGCGCAUCAGGGAAAGGCCAGGAUGCCCACGUGGCAUCUUCUCCAUCCCCCACUGUGGGCUCUGUUUCUGAGACAGCGAUGCCCAGGGAUUAGCCAACAUGUCAGCCCCGCCCAGGACACAACUGGGGAGUGGGACGGAGGUACCUGACAAGGAUUUAGGACAGGAAGAAAAACCACACAACUCUCAUUCAGACUGUCUCCAGGGGACUACAAGUUUCAGUGGGUGGCAGAUUGGCACUGUGUCAAUGCUGUUUUAGUGGGAACGGUGUUUGUCGGUAUUCCCUCCACUGUGGAAUUCCAGCUUAGACUGAGCUACAAGAAAUGU
rnacentral:lncRNA from 1 species